rnacentral:rRNA from 1 species
UGAACGCUGGCGGCGUGCUUAACACAUGCAAGUCGAACGGAGUGUUAACGGAAGUUUCGGAUGGAAGUUUAAGAACUUAGUGGCGGACGGGUGAGUAACGCGUGGGUAACCUGCCUCAUACAGGGGGAUAACAGUUAGAAAUGACUGCUAACACCGCAUAAUAUAGCGAAACCGCAUGAUUUUGCCAUCAAAUAUUUAUAGGUAUGAGAUGGGCCCGCGUCUGAUUAGCUAGUUGGUGGGGUAAAAGCCUACCAAGGCGACGAUCAGUAGCCGGCUUGAGAGAGUGACCGGCCACAUUGGGACUGAGACACGGCCCAAACUCCUACGGGAGGCAGCAGUGGGGAAUAUUGGACAAUGGGGGGAAACCCUGAUCCAGCGACGCCCGCGUGAGUGAAGAAGUAUUUCGGUAUGUAAAGCUCUAUCAGCAGGGAAGAUAAUGACAGUACCUGACUAAGAAGCCCCGGCUAACUACGUGCCAGCAGCUGC